rnacentral:tRNA from 2 species
GCUUUCAAAGGAUAGUAGUAAUCCAAUGGUCUUAGGAGCCAUCCACCUUGGUGCAAAUCCAAGUGAAAGUA